GUUACUUUAGCCUCUGGAUAAAAAUAGAGAGAGCCUUAUAAAAGAGAAGAUAAAUCCUUUCCAUAGUGGAUUGUAGGUCAUUGAUAUCGCCUGGCUCCAAAAGCAAGCUGCAAUCUCCAGCUGAAGAAAACUUAUGCAUUGAGAAAAUCCAAUUCCCCUUGGUCUGCUGUGAAGGCUUCAAUACCGGGUUCAUCCAGAAAUAUGCAUCUUGUAGAAUACUGAAAGAUGUCUCUGAGCUAAGUUACUGAUAUGCCACAGCAAUUCAUCUACUUGAAGAAAUAUGGAUUUGUCAGCAAAGGUUUCCUCUGUGCUGGGAGUGGGUCAGAGCCAGCAGGCACUGAGGCACUGAGGCAACAUGCAGCCGGGAUGCAGUGCUCCAGAAGUCAGUGGCAGCUAUGUCAGAGCCAGCAGAAUGAUGUUUGUUGCACACAGAUAUAAACUUUUGCUCUCCUAUUUGCUAACAGGAGGAAUGUGCUUAGCUGAAGAGGUCAGUAGUCUUGAUGUCAGUGAUACCUUGUGGUUAUAAGCUCUGUAGGAAAGCUUUAUUAGAGCUGCCCUUCCCCGUUUAUGAUGAUUGAAUUAAAAGAGACUGC
rnacentral:lncRNA from 1 species